CACGUUUCACAGCCACGCCAACAACCUUCCAAACGCAUCAGCCCAUGCACGAAACCAUCAACGAAUCCUACAACAUUCUCCAACCGAAUCCAUGCCAGGGAGGGGAACAAAUGCAGCUCUAAGGAACCCAAUAUCGCACCCAUCAAGGAAUACACACGUAGAACAUGGCGCCUGCAGAAUAGAAGGAACCGAAUACCAAAGUUGGGAACCAAAUACGCCCUUCUUCUGCAUAAUAAGAACCGAAUAACCCCAACUCGGAACCGAAUACAUGGUUCCAUAUACACUCUUCACACCUCUGGAAUCGAAUACGGGUGGAGGAACCAAAUACACCUCCAAUAAAUUUCGUUCUAGCCACUCUUAUUCAUCUUCUACAUCUUCAAACUCCUCUUCAUCUUCAACCAUCAUCUUCAUAUGGUCAUCAACGGCAUCUACCAUACACAACAUUUCUUCUUCGUGGUCAUCUACAACCUCCAAUGUCAAAAAUUGUGGCAUAUAAAAACUGUGGCAUUUUUAUUAUUAACAAAGGAAUCGAUUAUUUCUUACUGCGAAUACUGCAAUAAAUUAUGUAUUUAAGCUUCUAGACUGGAGCUGGAAUUCUAUAAUAAUUCAAGAGUAAAUAACAUAUUGUACCGUA
rnacentral:lncRNA from 1 species